rnacentral:rRNA from 1 species
GACGAACGCUGGCGGCGUGCCUAACACAUGCAAGUCGAGCGGGGUUGAAGCGAGAGGUAACUCGAACUUCUACCUAGCGGCGGACGGGUGAGUAACGCGUGGGCAACCUGCCUCAAGGUCUGGGAUAACAGCCCGAAAGGGCUGCUAAUACCGGGUAUGCUUGUGGCCUCGCAUGGGGCUAUGAGCAAAGGGGAAACCCGCCUUGAGAUGGGCCCGCGUCCCAUCAGCUAGUUGGUGAGGUAACAGCUCACCAAGGCGACGACGGGUAGCCGGCCUGAGAGGGUGACCGGCCACACUGGGACUGAGACACGGCCCAGACUCCUACGGGGGGCAGCAGUGGGGGAUCUUGCACAAUGGGCGAAAGCCUGAUGCAGCGACGCCGCGUGAGCGAAGAAGGCCUCGGUUGUAAAGCUCUGUCUGGAGGGACGAAGGAAGUGACGGUACCUCCGGAGGAAGCCACGGCUAACUACGUG